UACGUAGGUGGCAAGCGUUGUCCGGAAUUAUUGGGCGUAAAGCGCGCGCAGGCGGUCUUUUAAGUCUGAUGUGAAAGCCCACGGCUCAACCGUGGAGGGUCAUUGGAAACUGGGGGACUUGAGUGCAGGAGAGAAGAGUGGAAUUCCACGUGUAGCGGUGAAAUGCGUAGAGAUGUGGAGGAACACCAGUGGCGAAAGGCGGCACUCUGGGCCGGUACUGACGCUGAGGAGCGAAGCGUGGGGAGCAAACAGG
rnacentral:rRNA from 1 species